rnacentral:ncRNA from 1 species
UUGAACGCGAUGAAGAGAGAAUGUUUGCUUCAGCUUUUGUUACAGAGAGCCCUUGAUUGCUGAAAGAGGGUACAAAAGAGGCUUACUGAAAAGACUCCGAGCGGCGCACCGACUAUACAGGUUUGUAUUGAGACUGCGAUGGGAAUGCCCAUUAUAGCAUCAGAGUAUCGGCUAUUUGCCCGUACUUGUAGAGAUUUGUGCCGAGAGGCAUAGAUGAAAAAAGAUGGUACCACGAAACAAAGCUUUCGUCCUUUUA